GUUAAAUGAAGAUUUAGGUAUCAUAUAUUGAUAAAUGAAGAUUUAAUCAUUGUGUUAUCCUUGAAAACAAUUAUGCCUGGGAGCCAGGCCAGCCUCCACAAAAAGCCAGCGUCUCCACUAUCCCAUGGUUUUUGGUUUAGUCUCAGCCUCCUCUUGUUGCGGUCUCUUUCAGCUUCAUUUAUUCUCAGGAUGGAAUGAGCUGAGUCUCCAUUUUCAUGCUUAGAUAAUGCUUGGGGACUGGCGAAACAGUGGUGAGCCAAGGCUAGUAGGGGAGGCUGCCAUUAAUGAAAGACUCUCAUAUGAAACCAAAAUGGUGGGAGGGUGGCUAUGGCUGCUGCCUCCACACCAUCUGAAAGACAACACUGGCCCGCACUGUGACCAGUGGUGCAUGGAUUCUUCAAGGUGUCCUCAGCUCACUGUGCAGGGCCCCGCUGGGCACACACAAGCCCUUCACAGUGGCUACACUCCCACUUAGUGGUGCUUAGACUUCUCUUAGGCAAAUAUUUUCCUGGCCACAAAAAUAAAGGGCAGGUCAGGUGCCAGUGAUGUGGGAGCCUAAAGCCCAGAGGAAGCCACUGCAGUCUUCAGAUGACACCAGCCUUCUUUCCCUUAAUUCCACCUGAGGCAGAGCUUAGCUCAAAUCCCAGGACUUUGGGAGGCUGAAGCAGGAGAACUGCUUGAGGCCAGGAGUUUGAGAUCAGCCUGGGCAACAUAGCAAGGCCCUUGUCUCUAUGAAAUGAAAAGAAAUUAGCUAGGUGUAGUGACACAUACCUGUGGUCCCAGCUACUUUGGAGGCUGAAGGUUGAGGCAGGAAGAUGGCUCGAGCCUAGGAGUUAAAGGCUGUAUGUAGUGAGCCAUGAUAUCUCAAAAAAAAAAAAAAAAAAAAAAGGAAAGAAAAGAAAAAUAAACUGAAAUCAGGAAAAGAGCCAGGAUCCUGCUCCCUGACCCCAGAAGUGGAGAAAGAUUUGGAAUAGAGAGGGAGGUGAAUGAUGAAGAACUGCAUGGCCUUGUCUCUGCACUGAUUUUCUAUUGAUGACACUUUUCAGAUAUCUCCUCUCUGUAUCCUUCCUUCUGUAUUUGCAGCCUUCUGGAUCAGUCAGUUCCACUGUGGCUCAGCUACUUAGGACCAAAUUAACAAACAGUUGACGGCCUAAUACUGACCAGAAUCUCAUAUCAAAACUAAUAAAUUAGACCAAAAUAUGACUUCUCUUCAGCUUUUGCAAACUUCCAGGUUUUAUUUUUCAUGUAUGUGUAGUCCUUCAAUGGAGAACAUUUUCUUAGAGUGUCUCCUCUGUUUGGUACCAGCUGUCAGAGCCCCUGGCUAUGGUGGGGAAGCAGCUGCUUGGAGGUCUAACCUGACUGACAGUUGGACACAGGGGGAAAUCUUGGGAGAACAGAGUAGGGAGAGAAGACUCGUGGCCUUCCUCUCCAGCUAAUAAGUUUGAGAUAAGCCCGGAAAUGGCAUCUCCAAACUGAUAUUAGCAGAUCCCAGAAUUUGUUAGUUUUUGAAAGGCACAACUUAAAAUUUAUUGGUAAGGCAGACUUGGUGGACAAAGGAAACCAGAUUGUGGUCAGACAACGGUUAUGCUUGCCACAGGGUGGUGGUGAACUAGGAGGUAGGAGUUUAUCCUGGUCCCAGCCAGAUCAGCUCUGCAUUUGAACAGAACAUUGCUGCCAACACCUACCUUGGGGGUUAGUAACCACGGAAGCCAUGGGGAAUUUCUACUUCAACCUGUUCUGAUGAGGGAUCGUGUUUUGAUAUUUCUCUCUGCAGAUAAGUUUCAUUUCUAAUUUUAAUUUUAACAUUUGGAUUGUGUUCUGGCCAGAUUGGAAAGGUCUCUCUGCUCAUUUGCAGAAAGAACACGCUCUUCCCAGUGAAAUCUUAGUAGCAAUACUCUGCAGUUUCCAAGAAUCCUUCCCUCCUCCUCACUCCCUACUCCUACUGAUUGCCAGAGUGUCAGAGACCUGAAAUUGCCUCUUUUCUCACAUGACUGACCCACUCGUAUGAGUCAGGAGUGCCUGGAUUAAAAUGUGGUAAAAAAGAGCCCCAAAUGUCAUAUGUCAUUGGCUUCAACCAAAGGUUUAUUACUCACAUGCACUUCACAUCCAGCAGAGCUUGGUGCAGAAUUCGGGGUGUAGGGGCCCCAGGACCUGAGUGACAAAUGACUCCUCCAUCAUUUGUCACUCAGGUCCUGGGGCUGAGGAAGCCUCCUCCAUCUCAUGCCACUGGCGUCUCCACACAAAGCUUCCAGAUCCUGGGAAGAGAAGGCUGGAGAGUCAAGCCGGCUCAUACCUUACUG
rnacentral:lncRNA from 1 species